rnacentral:rRNA from 1 species
GUGGGGAAUCUUAGACAAUGGGCGCAAGCCUGAUCUAGCCAUGCCGCGUGAGCGAUGAAGGCCUUAGGGUUGUAAAGCUCUUUCAGCUGGGAAGAUAAUGACGGUACCAGCAGAAGAAGCCCCGGCUAACUCCGUGCCAGCAGCCGCGGUAAUACGGAGGGGGCUAGCGUUGUUCGGAAUUACUGGGCGUAAAGCGCACGUAGGCGGAUCAGAAAGUCAGAGGUGAAAUCCCGGGGCUCAACCCCGGAACUGCCUUUGAAACUCCCAGUCUUGAGUUCGAGAGAGGUGAGUGGAAUUCCGAGUGUAGAGGUGAAAUUCGUAGAUAUUCGGAGGAACACCAGUGGCGAAGGCGGCUCACUGGCUCGAUACUGACGCUGAGGUGCGAAAGCGUGGGGAGCAAACAGGAUUAGAAACCCUAGUAGUCC